UUACAUAAUGCAGGGUGGAUAGUGAC
rnacentral:piRNA from 1 species